AUGCACCUCCUCCUCCUGGCCAUCACGGCCUUCGUUGUCCCUUUAGUCCUUGCCAUAUCCAUCCAGCCUCUCACGGACGACAUGGCCAGGCCCAACCACCUCAUGGCGAUCAGGAGCACCGGCGCCUUUAUCGCCGAGCACGUCAGGCUCCUGAAUGAGAUAAAACACGAUGUUAUGAAGUUCGUCGUCAUCAACAUCGCCCUCCUGCUCGUCACGCUGACGCUUGGUUUCGCCAAGCAGGCCCUCACAUUCUUCUUGCGCUCCAUGGGCUACUUCGGCGGUCGCUACUCACUACCCGAUAUCAUCCGCAAGGUGAUCAAGGGGAGCAGUCUGAAGGGCCCUUCGACCACCAUCGACGUUGCCGACGUGCUUCUGUUCACAUGCAUGGCACUUCUGGGUUCCAUGCUUUUUGCCAUGACGUGCCGCCGCUCUGGGGUGUUCUCUGUCGAGGGUCUCAUCUUCCUCCUCACACUCGUCGUCUACCUUUAUCUGAAUAGUUAG
rnacentral:rRNA from 1 species